rnacentral:rRNA from 1 species
GAUGAACGCUAGCGGCAGGCUUAAUACAUGCAAGCCGAGGAGCAGCAUGAAGUAGCAAUACUUUGAUGGCGACCGGCAAACGGGUGCGGAACACGUACACAACCUUCCUUUAAGUGGGGAAUAGCCCAGAGAAAUUUGGAUUAAUACCCCGUAACACAACGAAGUGGCAUCACUUUGUUGUUAUAGUUUCGGCGCUUAAUGAUGGGUGUGCGUAUGAUUAGAUAGUUGGCGAGGUAACGGCUCACCAAGUCUACGAUCAUUAGCUGAUGUGAGAGCAUGAUCAGCCACACGGGCACUGAGACACGGGCCCGACUCCUACGGGAGGCAGCAGUAAGGAAUAUUGGUCAAUGGACGCAAGUCUGAACCAGCCAUGCCGCGUGAAGGAUUAAGGUCCUCUGGAUUGUAAACUUCUUUUAUAUGGGACGAAAAAAGGUCUUUC